GUUAGUAACGCGUUGGAACGUGCCCUUUUCUACGUGAAUAGCCUCUGGAAACGGAGAGUAAUACCGUAUACGCCCUUUGGGGGAAAGAUUUAUCGGACGAAGGAUCGGCCCGCGUAAGAUUAAGUAGUUGGUGGGGUAAUGGCCUACCAGGCCUACGAUCUAUAGCUGGUUUAGACGAUGAUCGCCACCUGGGACUAGACACGCCCAAACUCUACGAGGAGCAGAGUGGGGGAUCUUAGACCAUGGGGGCAACCCAGAUUAUGCCUGCCGGGUAAUAUGAAGGGCUAGGGUCGAAAGCUCUUAGCCAUGGAGAUAGUACAGAGGACAGGAAAGAAACCCCGGGAAAUCCGGG
rnacentral:rRNA from 1 species